GGCGGCGGCACCGAGAAGUCCAUCUCUGUACAACGGGCAGUGCGUCGGCCUCUUCUCCUCCAAGAUGCUGCUGCCACCGGUAUGGACGGCAGCCACGCGCCACUCCGGCUCCUCGGCCGCGUCCUCCGAUGGCGAAGAAGAGAGCAUGGCCUCGUGGGGGAUCACCGAGGGUUCCGGCAACGACCCGUCUCUGUACAACCGGCCGCGCGUCGGCCUCUUCUCCGCCAAGAGCCUGCCUCCAUCUGUAUGAACAACCGCCUCGGAUCCUCGACCGCCGCCCCGUGGUGCGACCCGUGGCCGCCUUUGCCAGGAAGUGCUCCCGUCUUCAAGAUCCUCCCGUGGACUACAACUGGUAUGCAAUGAUGCUUCUCUAGCUUUCUGCUGGAUAUUUUGCUCUGAAAAUUAGCGAUAACUCAAUUCUGUUGGCUAAUAUUUCCAUGUGUAUACAUUCUUCGUAAUUAGACGUCUGUAUAGAUGCUCAGUUCUUAUGACAAAAUUAAGAAUCUACUUUAUCCAGGAACGCCUGGACAUUUGGGGCAGUACAUACUAAUAAAAUAAGCUGUUCCGAUUGCAAGACAUCAUUGCUAAAUUGUGGACAGUGUGACUCUACUUUCGUUUAUAAACUGCAGACAGGCUAUCCAAGCUGAAAAGGAAGGUACGUAGGCUAUUAAUUUUCACCAAAUGCAGUGGGGAUAUAAGAUCUUGCUUUGGAUUUCUAAAAGAUUCUUGCACCAGCAGCGACAACGACAACAUUGAUGUUCAUGGAUACUGAAGAUAAUCCGUCAUUGAUCCCUUUAUCCCACAUUCAAAAAAAAUCCAAGGAAAAUAUUGUAUCUCAUAUCUCAUCUCUUCAGAUUGUGUGCAUGGCGGCAAAAUGAAACGUGGUGGGCGGAUGUUCGUGACUUCGUCUCACACCUCAGAUAUUCAAUCUGCCUCCAAGUUUGCCUGCUUGCUUUUCUCUGUUAGUGGAUCUACAAGUUAAAUUAUUCAUUCAUUCUUCUCUGGUCAGUGUUCACGGUGGAAACGCCUCACAGUCUUCAGUUUUACGCUUACACUGAGGGGAAGAAAUGUUUUAGACUUUCUACACAAAAAAGGUUCUUUAAACGCGGUCUGUGCUGGGAGCUAAGGAAAAAAGUCCUUGUGUGCCUGCAGAUACGAUGGCCUUCUCUUUUUCACCUAAAAAAGAAUCAUUUUUACUAUAUCCAUGUUUUUAGUAGAUGUGCCCUGUACCAGAUCAUUUAGUGAUGAUCCUGUCUUUGAUUUACAUCCUCAGGUUCAGUUGGAACCUGUUCUUUGGGGUAUCAGGACGGCAUAUGGCUAGCCCCCGUCCUUAUUUUAUAUAACGAGCUGGCAGAAAGAUUGGCAAGGGAAAGCUUAUAUUUCCUGGGUGAAUUAUUUAUAUUCGGUGAAGGGACUCUUGGAUGGUUUUCAGAUGCCACGAGUUGCAUGAAUGUGAUGCAAGUAUCAGCAUCGUCUGCUUACGUUUUCAACAUGCAUCCUCCUACUAGCGUUCACUUUGGUGACUAUCCGGAUGUCUAUCUAAUCAAGAGGCCGACCCAGAUGCAAGCCAUGACACGGCCUGGCGCUGCAGUUGACCCUAGAGUGCACGAUCUGUUCCAGGCUUCGAAGAUUGUCACCAUCUGUGAUGGGCGACGUGCGGAAUUCUGGGACACCCACUGGAUUAAUGGGCGCCGGCCUUCAGAACUCUGGCUUGUGCUCUGGAGCCAUUCCACUCGUCGAUAUCUCACUAUGUGUGCGGCCAGCACUGGCAACUUAUGGCUCCGGUAUGUCAAAGGCUAACCCACCUGUGACGGUUCUCUGCAACUUCAGUGAGCUUUGGCAGCACACUCAGCGCCUCAUGCUGGUCGAUGACGAGGGCGACCGCGAUUUCCUCACCUGGUGUGGUGGUGCAUCCAGCAUAACCCUUUGCUGCCUAUUGUGCUCCUAAUGCCCUGGGAGCUCCUUGCAUUACUCUCCCAAUCUGAUGCGAAGGUUUGCAAGGCAGCCACAGUACUCACUGUUUGGAUGAUCUGUAAGGAGUGUAAUGGCCGCUUCUUUGAACCAUGUUGCACCUCUGUUCGGCAGGUUUUCGAGCGCCUGGUGGAUGAGGCAAAAAAAAUUGGUGAGAUGCGGGCCUUCUUGCCAAUGUGAUUAGAGACCCAAAUUAGAUGCUAUUAUAUUCAGCUUGAUCAAUGUUUAUUCUUGAAUUUUGGGCCAGAUCUUUUCACUGCUCCUCUUAACCUUGUAAAUAUCAUUUUGUUGUUUGUUUGCUCAUUCAAUGAAACACAGCUAAAGCUGCUUUUUUGAAA